GACGAACACUGGCGGCGUGCCUAAUACAUGCAAGUAGAACGCUGAAGGAGGAGCUUGCUUCUCCGGAUGAGUUGCGAACGGGUGAGUAACGCGUAGGUAACCUGCCUGGUAGCGGGGGAUAACUAUUGGAAACGAUAGCUAAUACCGCAUAAGAGUAGAUGUCGCAUGACAUUUGCUUAAAAGGUGCAACUGCACCACUACCAGAUGGACCUGCGUUGUAUUAGCUAGUUGGUGAGGUAACGGCUCACCAAGGCAACGAUACAUAGCCGACCUGAGAGGGUGAUCGGCCACACUGGGACUGAGACACGGCCCAGACUCCUACGGGAGGCAGCAGUAGGGAAUCUUCGGCAAUGGACGGAAGUCUGACCGAGCAACGCCGCGUGAGUGAAGAAGGUUUUCGGAUCGUAAAGCUCUGUUGUAAGAGAAGAACGAGUGUGAGAGUGGAAAGUUCACACUGUGACGGUAUCUUACCAGAAAGGGACGGCUAACUACGUG
rnacentral:rRNA from 1 species